GGUUAAGUGACUAAGCGUACACGGUGGAUGCCUAGGCAGUCAGAGGCGAUGAAGGGCGUGCUAAUCUGCGAAAAGCGUCGGUAAGGUGAUAUGAACCGUUAUAACCGGCGAUACCCGAAUGGGGAAACCCAGUGUGUUUCGACACACUAUCAUGUCAUGAAUACAUAGUGGCAUGAGGCGAACCGGGGGAACUGAAACAUCUAAGUACCCCGAGGAAAAGAAAUCAACCGAGAUUCCCCCAGUAGCGGCGAGCGAACGGGGAGGAGCCCAGAACCUGAAUCGGCUUGUGUGUUAGUGGAAGCGUCUGGAAAGUCGCGCAGCAAAGGGUGAUAGCCCCGUACACUAAAAUGCACAGGUCGUGAGUUCGAUGAGUAGGGCGGGACACGUGACAUCCUGUCUGAAUAUGGGGGGACCAUCCUCCAAGGCUAAAUACUCCUGACUGACCGAUAGUGAACCAGUACCGUGAGGGAAAGGCGAAAAGAACCCCGGCGAGGGGAGUGAAAUAGAACCUGAAACCGUGUACGUACAAGCAGUGGGAGCACCUUCGUGGUGUGACUGCGUACCUUUUGUAUAAUGGGUCAGCGACUUAUAUUUUGUAGCAAGGUUAACCGUAUAGGGGAGCCGUAGGGAAACCGAGUCUUAACUGGGCGAAUAGUUGCAAGGUAUAGACCCGAAACCCGGUGAUCUAGCCAUGGGCAGGUUGAAGGUUGGGUAACACUAACUGGAGGACCGAACCGACUAAUGUUGAAAAAUUAGCGGAUGACUUGUGGCUGGGGGUGAAAGGCCAAUCAAACCGGGAGAUAGCUGGUUCUCCCCGAAAGCUAUUUAGGUAGCGCCUCGUGAACUCAUCUUCGGGGGUAGAGCACUGUUUCGGCUAGGGGGCCAUCCCGGCUUACCAAACCGAUGCAAACUCCGAAUACCGAAGAAUGUUAUCACGGGAGACACACGGCGGGUGCUAACGUCCGUCGUGAAGAGGGAAACAACCCAGACCGCCAGCUAAGGUCCCAAAGUCAUGGUUAAGUGGGAAACGAUGUGGGAAGGCAUAGACAGCCAGGAUGUUGGCUUAGAAGCAGCCAUCAUUUAAAGAAAGCGUAAUAGCUCACUGGUCGAGUCGGCCUGCGCGGAAGAUGUAACGGGGCUAAACCAUGCACCGAAGCUGCGGCAGCGACGCUUAGGCGUUGUUGGGUAGGGGAGCGUUCUGUAAGCCGUUGAAGGUGGCCUGUGAGGGUUGCUGGAGGUAUCAGAAGUGCGAAUGCUGACAUAAGUAACGAUAAAGCGGGUGAAAAGCCCGCUCGCCGGAAGACCAAGGGUUCCUGUCCAACGUUAAUCGGGGCAGGGUGAGUCGACCCCUAAGGCGAGGCUGAAAAGCGUAGUCGAUGGGAAACAGGUUAAUAUUCCUGUACUUGGUGUUACUGCGAAGGGGGGACGGAGAAGGCUAGGCUAGCCGGGCGACGGUUGUCCCGGUUUAAGCGUGUAGGGGGUGUGACCUGGUAAAUCCGGUUGCAUGCUAACCCUGAGGCGUGAUGACGAUGCACUACGGUGCAGAAGUAGUUGAUGCCCUGCUUCCAGGAAAAUCCUCUAAGCAUCAGGUAACAUUAAAUCGUACCCCAAACCGACACAGGUGGUCAGGUAGAGAAUACCAAGGCGCUUGAGAGAACUCGGGUGAAGGAACUAGGCAAAAUGGUGCCGUAACUUCGGGAGAAGGCACGCUGGCAUGUAGGUGAAGUCCCUUGCGGAUGGAGCUGAAGCCAGUCGAAGAUACCAGCUGGCUGCAACUGUUUAAUAAAAACACAGCACUGUGCAAACACGAAAGUGGACGUAUACGGUGUGACGCCUGCCCGGUGCUGGAAGGUUAAUUGAUGGGGUCAGCCGCAAGGCGAAGCUCUUGAUCGAAGCCCCAGUAAACGGCGGCCGUAACUAUAACGGUCCUAAGGUAGCGAAAUUCCUUGUCGGGUAAGUUCCGACCUGCACGAAUGGCGUAAUGAUGGCCAGGCUGUCUCCACCCGAGACUCAGUGAAAUUGAACUCGCUGUGAAGAUGCAGUGUACCCGCGGCAAGACGGAAAGACCCCGUGAACCUUUACUAUAGCUUGACACUGAACAUUGAGCCUUGAUGUGUAGGAUAGGUGGGAGGCUUUGAAGCGUGGACGCCAGUCUGCGUGGAGCCAUCCUUGAAAUACCACCCUUUAAUGUUUGAUGUUCUAACUCGGCCCCGUGAUCCGGGGUGAGGACAGUGUCUGGUGGGUAGUUUGACUGGGGCGGUCUCCUCCCAAAGAGUAACGGAGGAGCACGAAGGUUAGCUAAUCACGGUCGGACAUCGUGAGGUUAGUGCAAAGGCAUAAGCUAGCUUGACUGCGAGAGUGACGGCUCGAGCAGGUACGAAAGUAGGUCUUAGUGAUCCGGUGGUUCUGAAUGGAAGGGCCAUCGCUCAACGGAUAAAAGGUACUCCGGGGAUAACAGGCUGAUACCGCCCAAGAGUUCAUAUCGACGGCGGUGUUUGGCACCUCGAUGUCGGCUCAUCACAUCCUGGGGCUGAAGUAGGUCCCAAGGGUAUGGCUGUUCGCCAUUUAAAGUGGUACGCGAGCUGGGUUUAGAACGUCGUGAGACAGUUCGGUCCCUAUCUGCCGUGGGCGUUGGAAGAUUGAGAGGGGUUGCUCCUAGUACGAGAGGACCGGAGUGAACGCACCACUGGUGUUCGGGUUGUCAUGCCAAUGGCAUUGCCCGGUAGCUAAGUGCGGAAAAGAUAAGCGCUGAAAGCAUCUAAGCGCGAAACUUGCCUCAAGAUGAGUCUUCCCUGGGCCUUUAAGGCCCCUGAAGGAACGUUUAAGACUAAGACGUUGAUAGGCUGGGUGUGUAAGUGCAGCGAUGCAUUGAGCUAACCAGUACUAAUGAUCCGUGAGGCUUAACCUU
rnacentral:rRNA from 1 species